GCUCAACCCUGGAACUGCCUCCNAUACUGUCAGUCUUGAGUUCGAGAGAGGUGAGUGGAAUUCCAAGUGUAGAGGUGAAAUUCGUAGAUAUUUGGAGGAACACCAGUGGCGAAGGCGGCUCACUGGCUCGAUA
rnacentral:rRNA from 1 species